rnacentral:lncRNA from 10 species
AUAAGGGGUUUGCAGAGAAGGAAGAACCAGAAGAUCUUGGGCAAGAUAAAGACAGCCGGGGGCGAGGAACGCGGCUGUGCGGAGGAGCGGAAUCUUCUCAGCAGCGACCUGCGAAGGGCUCAGCGGCCACAGGAGGGCGGCAGAGAACAGUGCUCCCUACAGAUCCAGACAUCGGCCCUGGAUGCUGUCUGCAAUCCAGGCAAGGCCAGGCUGGGCUGCCCUAGGCUGGGGACGUCUUUAGCUCGAGCAAGAACCUAUGAAUUUCUGAAUUCAGGAAUCCUUGCAUCCCAUCUCAAGCUCUCUAGUCCCUGAAAUGCCAUCGCCCUCCUUCGCCUCCCUUCCAUUUCUCGUUCUAGCACUGGGGCUGCUGGCACAGAAGGACCCUGUGGCUUUUCCUUCAUGGUAUAGCAGAUAACACCCACGGUCCUCCGUGACAUUCCCUGGGGUCCCAGAUGAUAACUGGGGCCAGAACUAGAACCCAUGACUUCUUGGUUCUCAGCGCAGGGGUCAUCCCGUUGUGUCAGCUGCAGCUCCUGAAAAACACCAUACCCUACAGGCCACAACCAGACAGCAUCUCAAACCCCUGGCUUAAACAAUCAAUGUCAAAGCUACUGUGUUCUGUAUGUUUACAUAUGGAACUGGUGCAUACAAGACUGUUAACCCAGAACACACAUGUGUGCUGUAGCUACCUGGCUGUACACCCUUCAUCCUCAGUUUCAGAAACUCCUCGAAGCUGUAGACACAGAAGUCCUUUCCCAGUUCUAACCUUGGUCCAUCCUACCACAGCCCUUUACACCUGGAGAAGAGGACCUGCACAUGAUCUUCAGCUCUCUCUUCCCGGGUAUCCCUCACCUGGUCCUGUCACUGCUUCUUGCCUCUCCUGUCCCUCUGCUGACCAACCUAUGCCUCCCCCAGAUUCUUCUUGCUGCCACUGGUUCUCCUUUCAUCUCAAAAGCUGA